GACAUUUGGUAGAGACUGUUGAAGCCACCUGGUCCCAGCAGACCGCAGAAUAUGGCCACAUUCGCUGGUGCUGGUGCAAGGUUGUUAAGGGUGAAGCCUGGUGCCAGAUGUGU
ensembl:rRNA 5S_rRNA 5S ribosomal RNA